rnacentral:rRNA from 1 species
UACGGAGGGUGCGAGCGUUGUCCGGAAUCACUGGGCGUAAAGGGCGCGUAGGUGGCCCGGUCAGUUCGUGGUGAAAGCGCGGGGCUCAACCCUGCGUCGGCCAUGAAUACUGCCGCGGCUGGAGCACUGUAGAGGCAGGCGGAAUUCCUGGUGUAGCGGUGGAAUGCGCAGAUAUCAGGAGGAACAUCCGUGGCGAAGGCGGCUCUCUGGUACGGUAUUGACGCUGAGACGCGAAAGCGUGGGGAGCGAACAGG